rnacentral:rRNA from 1 species
CUCGAAAGAGAGCCGUAACACAGGUGCUGCAUGGCUGUCGUCAGCUCGUGUCGUGAGAUGUUGGGUUAAGUCCCGCAACGAGCGCAACCCUUGUCAUUAGUUGCUACAUUCAGUUGGGCACUCUAAUGAGACUGCCGGUGACAAGCCGGAGGAAGGUGGGGAUGACGUCAAGUCCUCAUGGCCCUUAUAGGUGGGGCUACACACGUCAUACAAUGGCUGGUACAAAGGGUUGCCAACCCGCGAGGGGGAGCCAAUCCCAUAAAGCCAAUCGUAGUCCGGAUCGUAGUCUGCAACUCGACUACGUGAAGUCGGAAUCGCUAGUAAUCGUGGAUCAGAAUGUCACGGUGAAUACGUUCCCGGGUCUU